rnacentral:rRNA from 1 species
UGAGGAAUAUUGGGCAAUGGACGAAAGUCUGACCCAGCCAUGCCGCGUGCAGGAUGACUGCCCUAUGGGUUGUAAACUGCUUUUAUAUAGGAAGAAACUUUUCUACGUGUAGAAAACUGACGGUACUAUUUGAAUAAGGACCGGCUAACUCCGUGCCAGCAGCCGCGGUAAUACGGAGGGUCCAAGCGUUAUCCGGAUUCAUUGGGUUUAAAGGGUCCGUAGGCGGGCUUUUAAGUCAGAGGUGAAGGCCUACAGCUUAACUGUAGAACUGCCUUUGAUACUGGAAGUCUUGAGUAUAGUUGAAGUGGGCGGAAUACGUCAUGUAGCGGUGAAAUGCAUAGAUAUGACGU